rnacentral:rRNA from 1 species
ACGACGCUGAGCGGCGUGCCUAAUACAUGCAAGUCGAGCGAACAGAAGGGAGCUUGCUCCCGGAUGUUAGCGGCGGACGGGUGAGUAACACGUGGGUAACCUGCCUGUAAGACUGGGAUAACUCCGGGAAACCGGAGCUAAUACCGGAUAGUUCCUUGAACCGCAUGGUUCAAGGAUGAAAGACGGUUUCGGCUGUCACUUACAGAUGGACCCGCGGCGCAUUAGCUAGUUGGUGGGGUAAUGGCUCACCAAGGCGACGAUGCGUAGCCGACCUGAGAGGGUGAUCGGCCACACUGGGACUGAGACACGGCCCAGACUCCUACGGGAGGCAGCAGUAGGGAAUCUUCCGCAAUGGACGAAAGUCUGACGGAGC